GUUGACCUCGGAUCAGGUAGGAAUACCCGCUGAACUUAAGCAUAUCAAUAAGCGGAGGAAAAGAAACCAACAGGGAUU
rnacentral:rRNA from 1 species